GCUCAUCGAGGAGGCUCGGGCCGCACAGGAGCCCACGGAUUGGGUGGGAGGUUCAGGCAUGGCGGGCUGCAGGUCCCGAGCCCUGCCGCGCGGGAAGGCAGGAGGACCGUCCCUGAGCACUCUCCUGUGAGGCCUCUGGCUGCACUCUCUGCAAUCUAUCUAACAGCCUGUGGAUGAGGUCAAAGGAAAGAGGGAAGAAAGGAGAAAGGGGAGAAGGAAAGAACUUGAGGCUUUGAUGACCGUUGGAAUGCAGAGAAGCUAUGAGAAAAGAGCUACAAGAGAAAAAUGGCAGCAUUGCAAAGUGCAAGAACACUGAAGGGAUUAAACAGCAUUCUAGAAAACAAGACAGACCAUGAAGAGUAUGGGAAGAAACAGGAAGGCCUAUUUCCCGGUACCAUACCCAGAAGCUGUAUAAUAGGGACAACUUGCAGGCUGAGGUGCUCUCUGUGUCCUGACAUGUCAGAUUUGGGAAAUGAGUGAAGCAGGACGGCAACAUAGAGUCUUCCAGGGGCUACAUGAUUGUGAAAGAGGACAAUGAGAAAGGAAUGGAAUCCUGAGGUUGGAGAGUUGCUUAAGCCCAGGAAGUCAAGGCUGCAGUGAGCCAUGAUAGCACCAUUGCACUCCAGCCCAGGCAAAAGAGCCCUGGAGACUGACUGGCCAUUAAACACAAAAUGAUGACUGGUGCAGCAGGUGCAGUGAAGUGGGAAGGUGUGGAGCAAAUAAAAAAGUCCAUGGCAUCCGUAAGAAAUGCUGACCCCCAGGAAAUUUUAAAAGGUUAUGUGCACUGUGGUAUUCAUGACGUAUGUGUGAGAGCUCCUGGGGACAACAGCUAAAUUUCCCACCACACCACAUCCUGAGAGGAUCCAUAAAGAAGAAAUGGAUGUCAUUAGGAAAAAAGACUUCAUCAGGCACUUCCCCUAGGAGGUAGCAGGAAUUAAGCCAGAUCAAUAGUCAAAUUCUACUCUGCUUUUGAAGAAACAGCUGAAGGAAGCAGAUAAAAUUUGAAAGACUGUUCUUUCAUGGUUGGGAAGAUAGAAAAAAGCAAAGCAAAAUAUAAUCCUCGAUAUUCAUUCUAUGGUGAAAUGACUUCUAAUUUCCAUUUUAAAAGAGAUACUUUAAGGGCUACAAAAUUUUUGCUUAAAAAUUAUAAAAUGUUCCCAUUUUAAUGUAGAACCUAUACACAAGAAGGCAGGAAGCAUUUUAUCCCUCAGGUGUGCUGGUGCAGAGAGACAAUGACUUGAGAAAAAGCUGGCCCCAAAUGAUUACCUACAGAGUUUGAGCAAGAGGAUUGCUCAACAGUGAUCACCACAAAGUUUAAAUAGACUAAUAAACCUUUUGGUUAAAAAAGCAUGACAAGGGGAGGAGCCAAGAUGGCCGAAUAGGAACAGCUCCGGUCUACAGCUCCCAGCAUGAGUGAGGCAGAAGACGGUGAUUUCUGCAUUUCCAUCUGAGGUACCGGGUUCAUCUCACUAGGGAGUGCCAGACAGUGGGCACAGGUCAGUGGGUGCGCGCACCGUGUGCGAGCCAAAGCAGGGCGAGGCAUUGCCUCACUUGGGAAGCGCAAGGGGUCAGGGAGUUCCCUUUCCGAGUCAAAGAAAGGGGUGACGGAUGGCACCUGGAAAAUCGGGUCACUCCCACCCGAAUACUGCGCUUUUCCAAUGGGCUUAAAAAACGGCACACCAUGAGAUUAUAUCCCACACCUGGCUCGGAGGGUCCUACACCCACAGAGUCUCACUGAUUGCUAGCACAGCAGUCUGAGAUCAAACUGCAAGGCGGCAGCGAGGCUGGGUGAGGGGCGCCUGCCAUUGCCCAGGCUUGCUUAGAUAACCAAAGCAGCCUGGAAGCUCCAACUGGGUGGAGCCCACCACAGCUCAAGGAGGCCUGCCUGCUUCUGUAGGCUCCACCUCUGUGGGCAGGGCACAGACAAACAAAGAGACAGCAGUAACCUCUGCAGACUUAAAUGUCCCUGUCUGACAGCUUUGAAGAGAGCAGUGGUUCUCCCAGCACGCAGCUGGAGAUCUGAGAAUGGGCAGACUGCCUCCUCAAGUGGGUCUCUGAACCCUGACCCCCGAGCAGCCUAACUGGGAGGCACACCCCAGCAGGGUCACACUGACACCUCACACGGCAGGGUAUUCCAACAGACCUGCAGCUGAGGGUCCUGUCCGUUAGAAGGAAAACUAACAAACAGAAAGGACAUCCACACCAAAAACCCAUCUGUACAUCACCAUCAUCAAAGACCAAAAGUAGAUAAAACCACAAAGAUGGGGAAAAAACAGAACAGAAAAACUGGAAACUCUAAAUAGCAGAGCACCUCUCCUCCUCCAAAGGAACACAGUUCCUCACCAGCAAUGGAACAAAGCUGGAUGGAGAAUGACUUUGACGAGCUGAGAGAAGAAGGCUUCAGACGAUCAAAUUACUUUGAGCUACGGGAGGACAUUCAAACCAAAGGCAAAGAAGUUGAAAACUUUGAAAAAAAUUUAGAAGAAUGUAUAACUAGAAUAACCAAUACAGAGAAGUGCUUAAAGGAGCUGAUGGAGCUGAAAACCAAGGCUCAAGAACUACGUGAAGAAUGCAGAAGCCUCAGGAGCCGAUGCGAUCAACUGGAAGAAAAGGUAUCAGCGAUGGAAGAUGAAAUGAAUGAAAUGAAGCAAGAAGGGAAGUUUAGAGAAAAAAGAAUAAAAAGAAAUGAGCAAAGCCUCCAAGAAAUAUGGGACUAUGUGAAAAGACCAAAUCUACAUCUCACUGGUGUACCUGAAAGGGAUGGGGAGAAUGGAACCAAGUUGGAAAACACUCUGCAGGAUAUUAUCCAGGAGAACUUCCCCAAUCUAGCAAGGCAGGCCAACAUUCAGAUUCAGGAAAUACAGAGAAUGCCACAAGGAUACUCCUCGAGAAGAGCAACUCCAAGACACAUAAUUGUCGGAUUCACCAAGGUUGAAAUGAACGAAAAAAUGUUAAGGGCAGCCAGAGAGAAAGGUCGGGUUACCCACAAAGGGAAGCCCAUCAGACUAACAGCGGAUCUCUCAGCAGAAACCCUACAAGCCAGAAGAGAGUGGGGGCCAAUAUUCAACAUUCUUAAAGAAAAGAAUUUUCAACCCAGAAUUUCAUAUCCAGCCAAACUAAGCUUCAUAAGUGAAGGAGAAAUAAAAUACUUUACAGACAAGCAAAUGCUGAGAGAUUUUGUCACCACCAGGCCUGCCCUAAAAGAGCUCCUGAAGGAAGCGCUAAACAUGGAAAGGAACAACAGGUACCAGCCGCUGCAAAAUCAUGCCAAAAUGUAAAGACCAUCAAGACUAGGAAGAAACUGCAUCAACUAAUGAGCAAAAUAACCAGCUAACAUCAUAAUGACCGGAUCAAAUUCACACAUAACAAUAUUAACUUUAAAUGUAAAUGGACUAAAUGCUCCAAUUAAAAGACACAGACUGGCAAAUUGGAUAAAGAGUCAAAACCCAUCAGUGUGCUGUAUUCAGGAAACCCAUCUCACGUGCAGAGACACACAUAGGCUCAAAAUAAAAGGAUGGAGGAAGAUCUACCAAGCAAAUGGAAAACAAAAAAAGGCAGGGGUUGCAAUCCUAGUCUCUGAUAAAACAGACUUUAAACCAACAAAGAUCAAAAGAGACAAAGAAGGCCAUUACAUAAUGGUAAAGGGAUCAAUUCAACAAGAAGAGCUAACUAUCCUAAAUAUAUAUGCACCCAAUACAGGAGCACCAAGAUUCAUAAAGCAAGUCCUGAGUGACCUACAAAGAGACUUAGACUCCCACACAUUAAUAAUGGGAGACUUUAACACCCCACUGUCAACAUUAGACAGAUCAACGAGACAGAAAGUCAACAAGGAUACCCAAGAAUUGAACUCAGCUCUUCACCAAGCGGACCUAAUAGACAUCUACAGAACUCUCCACCCCAAAUCAACAGAAUAUACAUUUUUUUCAGCACCACACCACACCUAUUCCAAAAUUGACCACAUACUUGGAAGUAAAGCUCUCCUCAGCAAAUGUAAAAGAACAGAAAUUAUAACAAACUAUCUCUCAGACCACAGUGCAAUCAAACUAGAACUCAGGAUUAAGAAUCUCACUCAAAACCGGUCAACUACAUGGAAACUGAACAACCUGCUCCUGAAUGAACUACUGGGUACAUAAUGAAAUGAAGGCAGAAAUAAAGAUGUUCUUUGAAACCAACGAGAACAAACACACAACAUACCAGAAUCUCUGGGACGCAUUCAAAGCAGUGUGUAGAGGGAAAUUUAUAGCACUAAAUGCCCACAAGAGAAAGCAGGAAAGAUCCAAAAUUGACACCCUAACAUCACAAUUAAAAGAACUAGAAAAGCAAGAGCAAACACAUUCAAAAGCUAGCAGAAGGCAAGAAAUAACUAAAAUCAGAGCAGAACUGAAGGAAAUAGAGACACAAAAAACCCUUCAAAAAAUUAAUGAAUCCAGGAGCUGGUUUUUUGAAAGGAUCAACAAAAUUGAUAGACCGCUAGCAAGACUAAUAAAGAAAAAAAGAGAGAAGAAUCAAAUAGAUGCAAUAAAAAAUGAUAAAGGGGAUAUCACCACCGAUCCAACAGAAAUCCAAACUACCAUCAGAGAAUACUACAAACACCUCUGCGCAAAUAAACUAGAAAAUCUAGAAGAAAUGGAUAAAUUCCUCGACACCUACACUCUCCCAAGACUAAACCAGGAAGAAGUUGAAUCUCUGAAUAGACCAAUAACAGGAUCUGAAAUUGUGGCAAUAAUCAAUAGCUUACCAACUAAAAAGAGUCCAGGACCAGAUGGAUUCACAGCCGAAUUCUACCAGAGGUAAAAGGAGGAAAUUCCUUCUGAAACUAUUCCAAUCAAUAGAAAAAGAGGGAAUCCUCCCUAACUCUUUUUAUGAGGCCAGCAUCAUUCUGAUACCAAAGCC
ensembl:lncRNA novel transcript, antisense to DKK2